rnacentral:rRNA from 1 species
AGAGUUUGAUCCUGGCUCAGGACGAACGCUGGCGGCGUGCCUAACACAUGCAAGUCGAACGUGAUUAUGAAACGGAAACUUUCGGGUGGAAGUUUCAUAUGAAAGUGGCGGACGGGUGAGUAACGCGUGAGCAACCUGCCCUGUACUGCGGGAUAGCCAAGGGAAACUUUGAUUAAUACCGCAUGAUGCUCUCUAUUCGCAUGAGAAGAGGGCCAAAGAAUUUUGGUAUAGGAUGGGCUCGCGUCUGAUUAGCUAGUUGGUGGGAUAAAAGCUCACCAAGGCUGCGAUCAGUAACCGGCUUGAGAGAGUGAACGGUCACACUGGAACUGAGACACGGUCCAGACUCCUACGGGAGGCAGCAGUGGGGAAUAUUGCACAAUGGAGGAAACUCUGAUGCAGCGACGCCGCGUGAGCGAAGAAGGAAUUCGUUUCGUAAAGCUCUGUCCUAUGGGAAGAUAAUGACGGUACCAUAGGAGGAAGCCCCGGCUAACUACGUGCCAGCAGCCGCGGUAAUACGUAGGGGGCGAGCGUUGUCCGGAAUUAUUGGGCGUAAAGGGUACGUAGGCGGUUUUUUAAGUCCGAUGUGAAAUCGGUGGGCUCAACCCAUCCAAGCAUUGGAAACUGGAGAACUUGAAUCAUGGAGAGGAAAGUGGAAUUCCUAGUGUAGCGGUGAAAUGCGUAGAUAUUAGGAGGAAUACCGGUGGCGAAGGCGACUUUCUGGACAUGUAUUGACGCUGAGGUACGAAAGCGUGGGGAGCAAACAGGAUUAGAUACCCUGGUAGUCCACGCCGUAAACGAUGAGUGCUAGGUGUUGGGGGUCAAACCUCGGUGCCGAAGUUAACACAUUAAGCACUCCGCCUGGGGAGUACGUACGCAAGUAUGAAACUCAAAGGAAUUGACGG